GAUGAAGAACGUAGCGAAAUGCGAUAAGUAGUGUGAAUUGCAGAAUUCAGUGAAUCAUCGAAUCUUUGAACGCACAUUGCGCCCCUCGGUAUUCCGUGGGGCAUGCCUGUUCGAGCGCCAUCUACACCCUCAAGCUCUGCUUGGUGUUGGGCGUCUGUCCCGCCUCCGCGCGUGGACUCGCCCCAAAUUCAUUGGCAGCGGUCCUUGCCUCCUCUCGCGCAGCACAUUGCGCUUCUCGAGGGGCUACGGCUCGCGUCCAACAAGCACAUUUACCGUCUUUGACCUCGGAUCAGGUAGGGAUACCCGCUGAACUUAAGCAUAUCAAUAAGCGGAGGA
rnacentral:misc_RNA from 1 species